GACGAACGCUGGCGGCGUGCCUAAUACAUGCAAGUAGAACGCACAGUUUAUACCGUAGCUUGCUACACCAUAGACUGUGAGUUGCGAACGGGUGAGUAACGCGUAGGUAACCUGCCUGGUAGCGGGGGAUAACUAUUGGAAACGAUAGCUAAUACCGCAUAAUAUUAAUUAUUGCAUGGUAAUUAAUUGAAAGGUGCAAUUGCACCACUACCGGAUGGACCUGCGUUGUAUUAGCUAGUAGGUGAGGUAACGGCUCACCUAGGCGACGAUACAUAGCCGACCUGAGAGGGUGAUCGGCCACACUGGGACUGAGACACGGCCCAGACUCCUACGGGAGGCAGCAGUAGGGAAUCUUCGGCAAUGGACGAAAGUCUGACCGAGCAACGCCGCGUGAGUGAAGAAGGGUUUCGGAUCGUAAAGCUCUGUUGUAAGAGAAGAACGGGUGUGAGAGUGGAAAGUUCACACUGUGACGGUAUCUUACCAGAAAGGGACGGCUAACUACGUG
rnacentral:rRNA from 1 species